AUACGUAGGGUGCAAGCGUUGUCCGGAUUUAUUGGGCGUAAAGAGCUCGUAGGCGGUUAGUCACGUCGGAUGUGAAAUCCCAGUGCUUAACACUGGGCCUGCAUUCGAUACGGGCUGACUAGAGUGUUGUAGGGGAGACUGGAACUCCUGGUGUAGCGGUGAAAUGCGCAGAUAUCAGGAAGAACACCGGUGGCGAAGGCGGGUCUCUGGGCAACUACUGACGCUGAGGAGCGAAAGCGUGGGGAGCAAACAGGAUUAGAUACCCUGGUAGUCCACGCCGUAAACGGUGGGCGCUAGGUGUGGGGAACAUUCCACGUUCUCCGUGCCGCAGCUAACGCAUUAAGCGCCCCGCCUGGGGAGUACGGCCGCAAGGCUAAA
rnacentral:rRNA from 1 species